UAUGUUACUGAUUAUCGUAAAAUUGACUCUGCUAGAGACUCUGUUAAUCAUUUUUUAUCUUAAUGGCAAGGCUUUGUUGCUGCCCAGUCUUUUGAAAGAUAUUUGAAAAUUCAGGAUACAUGUUUACAGAAGAGACAAACUUGACUUCAUUAUCUAGAGCCAGAACACAUAGUAUCUGUAUAUCCACGGUGAUUGGGACUAAUGCCAAGAUUUGAAAUAAUACCUCAGACAGUUCAGCUUCAGAGAGAGAAUAGCUUUUGAAAAAUCUAAAAUCUACCUUAGGAACGUACAUUUCUCUAAGCAAAGUGAGUAUGUAAACAAAAUGUUUUAUUAUCAGGGAUUUCUCCCUUUCCCCUUCAAUGUUCCCUUUCUCUUUCACCAGGCUCCCAGGCUCUUGACACUCCUGGUUCCUCCCAGUCCCCUUGUGAUUCCUUUAAUAUCUAUGCCUAUUUCUGAGAUAUCCCUUCCUCACUCUGCCCCCUGCAUACCCGUCAGUUGCCUUGUAAUGUCCCUUUCCCUGAAAGCCUCGUUAUUUACCUACAUUUAAAAUAUAGAUUAUAUUAGGCUUAUACCCUAACCAUUCCACAUGAGAUCUACACUGUAAUUGAGGCUUCUAAAAAGUGAUGUGGUAUGGAGGACCAUGAUCAGAUCAGUGGAGGCCUUUGGGAGACGGGGGAGCUUUGGAAAUCACAUCAGUGAAAGGUGUGGACAAAAACGGCCUUUUGUUGUUCCACAUCAUUUUUUAAUCGUAUUUUUUAAAGAAAAAAAUGAAAAGAUUCCCUCAAGUAAGUAUAUUAUUCUGGUUUCCUCAGACCAUCUCACUAACAUGUUUCAUUCACUAUUCCAGUAU
rnacentral:lncRNA from 1 species